rnacentral:rRNA from 1 species
AUACGAGGGGUGCUAGCGUUGUUCGGAAUUAUUGGGCGUAAAGCGUGCGUAGGCGGCUUGGUAAGUCAGCUGUGAAAGCCCAGGGCUCAACCCCGGAACUGCCUUCGAUACUGGCAAUCUUGAGGUCGGGAGAGGUGAGUGGAAUUCCUAGUGUAGAGGUGAAAUUCGUAGAUAUUAGGAGGAACACCAGUAGCGAAGGCGGCUCACUGGCCCGAUUCUGACGCUGAGGUGCGAAAGCGUGGGGAGCAAACCGGAUUAGAUACCCCAGUAGUCC